GACGAACCGUGCGAACGUUAUUCGGAAUCACUGGGCUUAAAGCGCGUGUAGGCGGAUGGGAACGUCGGCCACUGAAAGCCCCCCGGCUCAACCGGGGAAGCGGUGCCGGGACGGCCCGUCUGGAGGGGCGUAGGGGGACCUGGAACUUCCGGUGGAGCGGUGAAAUGCGUUGAGAUCGGAAGGAACGCCCGUGGCGAAAGCGAGGUCCUGGACGUCAUCUGACGCUGAGACGCGAAAAGCUAGGGGGAGCGAACGGG
rnacentral:rRNA from 1 species